rnacentral:rRNA from 1 species
AGUGAACGCUGGCGGCAGGCCUAAUACAUGCAAGUCGAACGGCAGCACAGCAGAGCUUGCUCUGUGGGUGGCGAGUGGCGGACGGGUGAGGAAUACAUGGGAAUCUGCCCAGUCGUGGGGGAUAACGUAUGGAAACGUACGCUAAUACCGCAUGCGCCCUAAGGGGGAAAGCCGGGGACCGCAAGGCCUGGCGCGAUUGGAUGAGCCCAUGUUCGAUUAGCUAGUUGGCGGGGUAAAGGCCCACCAAGGCGACGAUCGAUAGCUGGUCUGAGAGGAUGAUCAGCCACACUGGAACUGAGACACGGUCCAGACUCCUACGGGAGGCAGCAGUAGGGAAUAUUGGACAAUGGGGGCAACCCUGAUCCAGCCAUGCCGCGUGAGUGAAGAAGGCCCUCGGGUUGUAAAGCUCUUUUGUCCGGAAGAAAAGCAAUCGGUUAAUACCCGGUUGUCCUGACGGUACCGGAAGAAUAAGCACCGGCUA